AACUGAUUUAAAUAUGUUUUUAGUACCUUUAUGGAUCUUGAGAGAGGAAGUGUCCAUUGUUCCCUAUGGAGGCCUCACGGUGCCAUCGGAUUUUCAUCGGAGCCACUUAAUUUGUGUUCUGAAGAUUAACUAAGGUCUUACGGGUGUGGAACGACAUGAGGUAAAUGAGGACUUGGUGAGCAUAAGAGACUUCUUUCAAGAAACAUUAAAAAGUUCACUGAUGGAUGAGAGAAGUCCAGCACCGUAUGCUCGGAGUGAACCCUCCUGCUUGCACAGGCCAAACUCUACCGUGAAGAAAUAGCACUGCAAUGGCACCAACAUAACCAUCAAAACUACUGCAAAAAAUAUC